UCCGGCCCCCACUCAACCCUCCCUCCCUCCGCCUCCGGGGCCGUGGGGCGGCCGGGCCAAUGAGCGGCGAGAGGAGGGGAGCGGGAAGCCGAGCGCGCUGGGCCGCGGCCCUCCUACCGCGCCCGUAGCCGCAGCGCCAAACACCAAGUUUUGCGCCCGGAGACUCUGCGCCGCGUCCUGUCCUCCGGCUCGCAGCUCGCUCCCCGGGAGCCCGGCGGCCGCGCGCGGCCCUCGGGACGGCCGCCCGCGCGCACUCGGGCGGGAGGACGCCGAGCCGGGGGCCGGGGUUGGGGGCGGCUCCUCCCGAAGAUGCAGGAUGGCAGCGGAGCCGCGGUCCAGCCUGUCCUACCGCACGACGGGCUCCACCUGUCUGCACCCGCUCAGCGAGCUCCUGGGCAUCCCGCUGGACCAGGUGAAUUUUGUGGCCUGCCAGCUCUUUGCGUUGUUUGCUGCUUUCUGGUUCCGCCUCUACUUGAGUCCUGGUAAAACCAGUCCUGAUGUCCGGCAUGCGUUUGCCACCAUUUUUGGCAUCUAUUUUGUCAUCUUUUGUUUUGGCUGGUAUUCUGUGCAUCUUUUUGUGCUGGUGUUAAUAUGCUAUGGAAUCAUGGUCACUGCGAGCAUAUCCAAUAUUCACAGAUACUCCUUUUUUGUAGCGAUGGGCUACCUUACAAUCUGCCACAUCAGUCGAAUCUACAUCUUCCACUACGGAAUUCUCACUACAGAUUUUUCUGGGCCUCUGAUGAUUGUUACUCAGAAGAUCACAACCUUGGCAUUCCAAGUUCAUGAUGGAUUAGGUCGAAGGGCUGCAGAUCUUUCCAGCGAGCAACAUCGACUUGCUGUAAAAGCAAAACCCUCCUUUUUGGAAUACGUGAGCUACCUUCUCAACUUCAUGAGUAUCAUAGCGGGCCCUUGUAACAAUUUCAAGGAUUAUAUAGCCUUCAUUGAGGGGAGACACACACACACGAAGUUGCUGGAAGUCAACUGGAAGGAAAAAGGCUUCCACAGUCUGCCAGAACCUUCUCCCACUGGAGCCGUGAUGCACAAGCUGUGCGUGACCUUGGUAUCUCUCCUUUUGUUUCUGACGCUGACGAAGACCUUCCCUGUCACCUCCCUGGCUGACGACUGGUUUGUUCAUGAAGCAAACUUUCUGACCCGACUCUGCUAUUUAUACGUUGUCAUGCAAGCCUCCAAGCCCAAGUAUUACUUUGCCUGGACAUUAGAUGUGAUGCUAUCGAUAGCCUGUCUCCUGCCAUCUUUAAUGACAGCCCUUGGAUGGAGUUCCCUCUCUUCUGAGCUUAUAUCUGAUGCAGUGAAUAAUGCAGCUGGCUUUGGGUUCAGCGGAGUGGAUAAGAAUGGAAAUUUCUCUUGGGAUCUGCUUUCUAACCUAAACAUCUGGAAAAUUGAGACUGCCACAAGUUUCAAAAUGUACGUAGAGAACUGGAAUAUUCAGACAGCUACUUGGCUAAAGCGUGUGUGCUACGAGCGGGUUCCCUGGUACCCCACAGUGCUGACCUUCAUCCUGUCUGCAUUAUGGCACGGUGUCUACCCUGGGUACUACUUCACUUUCUUAACUGGAAUCCUUGUCACUCUAGCAGCCAGAACGGUGAGGAAAAACUACAGACAUUACUUCCUUUCUUCAAAAGCCCUCAAGGUUGCUUAUGACAUAGUCACCUGGGCUGCCACUCAGCUGGCCGUCUCUUACACGGUGGCCCCCUUCGUUAUGCUGGCCGUGGAACCCACCAUCAGCUUGUACAAGUCUAUGUACUUUUACUUACACAUCAUCAGUCUCCUGAUCAUUCUAUUCCUGCCAAUCAAACCACAAGCUCAUAAUCAAAGGCGGCCUCAGACUCUGAACUCUGUUAAUAAGAAAAAAAUGGAUUGAUACCUCCACCAAAAAAAAAAGAAAAAUGCUGAACACUUAAGACUGCAAAUCAUUGGACAAAGACUCCAGAGUUCUCCAGUGACUUAGAGGUCUGGCCACAUAAAGGAUGCAGGUAAAAGAUGCUGAAGACCCGUUCUGUGCCCUCGAAGAGCUCACAGUGGGACCAGACAGACAAGAUCCAGAGCAUGUGCUGCAGGUUGGAGGGAUCCCAGCAUUCUGAAAGGCACAGUGACUGGUGCUGUGUCCUUGUUUUCCUGUAAGUUCGGAGUCACCUCAUCUCUUGGAGCCUGAAGGUUACCCAGGAGAGCAACAUCACCACUCAGCAGCCUCUUGUCUGGGUGAAGUGAAGCCUGCCCUUGUUCUGAAACUGGAUGCUGCCUUUGCGACAAACCAGUACCAGUUAUUGCAGGGACGGCCCAAAGGAGCAGACUGUGCGUUCCCAGUUGCCCAUAGAGGUAGUGGGGUGGCUAAUCCAGCCCCCAACCCCGAAAGAUCUUUAGUGAAAGUUCCAGGCUCAGCGAGUGAGGUGUUGAGGCCCGGGAGGAAGGGUGUUUGCCGAGAGAAGGCUCAGCCCACCUGAGCUUUGCCUAAUCCCUAAACUUAUGUUAGGCUAGGAGCUCCAGGAAUAAUUGCAAGCUGCCAUCCCUGCCACUCCCUCAGGCUCCCGGAGAGGAGCUACUGCUGACCCCAUCACAUGCUCUGCGGGCAUGCAUGGGCUACCCCUGCCUCUGAGAACCCCAGGACAGGGGACCAGUUGCCUCAUCUGCAUACCCCCUGUUCAAGGGGAAGAUGACCAGCAUAUGCCAAGAAAAGAGGAGGCAAGCAUCCCCACUAAAAACAGCACUUGCACCAAAUAUAUGAAACCCUCACAAGCCACAUAGGGGCAUUCCCACUUAUAAAUAGCUUCCUAAGACCACAGUAGAUAAUUGUUUCUCCUAAACUCACAGAGUAAGAGAAAUAUAAGCAAAAUGAAGAAACAGAAGAGCCACUUCCAGCUGAAAGACCAAGAGAAUUCCCCUGAAAGAACAAUGAAACAGACCUCUUCAGACUAAUAGACACCGAUUUUGAAAAGGAGAUAAUGAAGAUACUGAUGGAGUUAAGAAAGACGACUGACAGAAAUGCAGAGGAACGGUAAUGUGAAAGUGGACACUAAAGAGGAACCAAGGAAAAUUAGAAAAUUCAUUUGCCAAGAUGAAAGCUGAACUAAAGGCCAUGAAUAGCAGGGUGAUGAAUGCAGAAGAAAUUUAAGUGACCUGGAAGAUAGAAUAUUGGAAGUCACCCAUUCAGGACGGUAGACAGAAAGCCAAAUGAAAAAAGAAAAAAAAAAGAAAGCAAAAUUAUGUAAAUCAACUUAUUUACAAAACAGACUUAGAGAACAAAUUAUGGUUACCAGACGGGAAGGUGAAGGAAAGAGAGAUACUGGGAGUUUGAGAUUGACACGUAUACACUGCUACAUUUAAAAUGGAUAAGUAUGGACCUACUGUAUAGCACAGGGAACUCUGCUCAAUAUUCUGUAAUACCCUAAAUGGGAGAAGAAUCUGAAAAAUAAUAAGACACUUGUGUGUAUAACUGAAUCACUUUGCUGCCUUAAACUAACACAACAUUGUUAAGCAAUGAUGCUCCAAUAUAAAAUAAAAAAAUUUUUUAAAUGCAAGCAAUAUAAGACACCUAUGGGAUAAAGUGUGCCCAACUAUACAUAGGAGGCAUUCCAGUACGUGAAGAAAGAGAAAAGGGUAUUGAGAAUAUAUCUGAAAAAAUUAUGGCUGAAAACUUCCCAAACCUAAAGGAAAAAAACAUAUCCAGAUACAAGAAGCACAGAGGGUCCCAAACAAGAUAAGCCCAAACAGACCUACACCAAGACAUAUUAUAAUAAAAAUGGCAAAUGUUAAAGAGAGGAUGCUAAAGGCAGAAGAGAAAAACAAAGAGUUAAUUACAAGGUAACCCCCCCACAUAAGGCUGUCAGCCGGUUUCUCUACAGAAACAGUUGCAGGCCAGAAAGGGAGUGGCAAGAUAUAUUCAAAGCCCCAAAAGGGAAAAAUCUACAGCCUAGGAUACUCUACUUAGCAAGAUUAUGAUUUAGAAUAGAAGGAGAGAGAGAAUUUCUCGGAUAUGCAAGAACUAAAAGAAUAUAGCAAUAGUUCAGUUCAGUCACUCAGUCGUGUCUGACUCUCUGACCCUGUGGCCUGCAGCACGCCAGGCCUCCCUGUCCAUCACCAACUCCCAGAGCUUACUCAAACUCAUGUCCAUUGAGUCGGUGAUGCCAUCCAGCCAUCUCAUCCUCUCCUCAUCCCCUUCUCUUCUCACCUUUAAUAUUUCCCAGCAUCAUGGUCUUUUCCAAUGAAUCAGUUUUUUGCAUCAGGUGGCCAAAGUAUUGGAGUUUCAGCUUCAGCAUCAGUCCUUCCAAUGAAUAUUCAGGAUAUCAUUAGGAUGGACUGGUGGGAUCUCCUUGCAGUCCAAGGGACUCUUAAGAGUCUUCUCCAACAUCACAGUUCAAAAGCAUCGAUUCUUUGGCGCUCAGCUUCCUUCACAGUCCAACUCUCACAUCCAUACAUGACUACUGGAAAAACCAUAGCUUUGACUAGACAGACCCUUGUUGGCAAAGUAAUGUCUCUGUUUUUUAAUAUGCUGGUUAGGUUGGUAAUAGUUUUUCUUCCAAGGAGCAAGCGUCUUUUCAUUUCAUGGCUGCAGUCACUAUUUGCAGUGAUUUUGGAGCCCCCCCAAAUAAAGUCUCUGUUUCCAUUGUUUCUCCAUCUAUUUGCCAUGAAGUGAUGGGACAGCAAUACUAAAACUAUCCUAAAAGAAACAUUGAAAGUGUUUCUCUAAAUAGAAAAGAAGUAAGCAUCUAUUAAGGAAGAGAACACCACAAUUGGAAAGCAAGUCACUUGAGUAACCCCGAGUGUGCUACGUUGCUGCAGUAGUGCCUGACUCUUUACAACCCUGUGGACUGUAGCCCACCAGGCUCCUCCGUCCAUGCAGCUCCCCAGGCAAGAAUACUGAAGUGGGUUGCCAUGCCCUCCCCUCCAGGGGAUCUUCCCACCCAGGGAUCAAACCCACAUCUCUUACGUCUCUUGCAUUGGCAGGUGGGUUCUUUACCACUAGUGUCAUCCGGGAAGCCCAAAUAAGCCAGUACACAGAUUUAAAAAAAAAAAAAAGAUUAUGUGAAAGUGAUGAUAACCACAAUGAACAGCAAAAAGAUGAAUGUGAAGAUGUAAAAUAGGACAUCAAAAUCAUGAAGUGCAGGAGAGGAGAGUAAGAAAAUGUAGAUUUUUUUUUUCAUUUCCUAGAACGAGUUUGAGCCUAUGUGACUACCAAGUAGAUAUAGGAAGGGGUUCACAUGCCUGAAAAACAAAGUAACCGCAAAUCAAAAACAUAAAAAUAGAUUCAGAAAAUAACCAAAAAGAAGAGAACGUAAGUAUAAUGCAAAAGAAAAUCAUCAAGCCACAAAAGGAAAAAUAAAGGGACAAAAAUAAAUAUAAAAUCAAGGGGAAAACAAGGUUUAAAACUGCAACAAAUACAUAUCUAUCAAUAGUUACCUUAUAUGUCAAUGGACUAAAUGGUCCAAUCAAAAGACAUGAGUGGCAGAUUGGAUAAAAAAGAAACAGCCAAUAAGAAACUCAUUUUAGGGCAAAGGGUGCACAUAGAUUGAAAGCGAGGGGAUGGAAAAAGAUAUUUCAUGCAAACGGAAAUGAUGAGAAAGCAGGGGUUGUGAUACUUAAACGAAAUAGACUUUAAAACAAAGAUCCUAAAGAUAAAGAAGGACACUAUAGAGUGAUGAAAGGAUCAAUACAAGAAGAGAAUUUUACACUUAUCAACACAUAUGUACCCAAUAUAGGAGCCCUCAAUUACAUAAAACAAAUACUAACAGACAUAAAGGGAGAAAUUGACAGGACUACUAUAAUAGUAGGAGAUUUUUACACCCCAGUCACAGCAAUGGGCAGAUCUUCUAGACUGAAAAUCAGUAGUGUAAUAGAGAUCCCAAAUAGAACAAUAGAACAGUUAGACUUAAAGGAUAUAUUCAGGACGUUACAUCCAAAAAAAAAAAAAAAAAAAAUCUCCAGAAUACAUAUUCAAGUGCACAUGGAACAUUCUCUAGGAUUGACCACAUAUUAGGGCAGAAAACAAGCCUCAACAAAUUUAAAAUUAUAGAAAUUAUCUCAAGCAUCUUUGCUAACAAUGAUAUGAAACUAAAAAUUAACCACAGGAAAAGAAAUAAGAAAAUAGUGAUUACAUGGAGAUUAAUAAUAUAUGUCACUAAAAUAUCAGUGGUCAGUGAUGAAAUCAAAGAGGAAAUUUAAAAAUACCUUGAGAUAAGUGACUAUGAAAACACAACUCUACAAAAUUUACGAGUUGCAGUAAAAGCAAUUCUUAGAGGGAAGUUCACAGUGAUAUAGGCCUUCCUCAAAAAAACAAGAAAAAUCUCAAGCAACCUAACCUACCACCUAAAAGAAUUAGCAAACGAACAAACAAAACCCAAAAUCAGCAGAAGGAAGGAAAUAGGUCAGAGAGGAAAUAGAGAUUUAAAAAGCAAUAGAAAAAAAAAAUUAAAAAAUCAAUAAAUCCAAGAGCUAGAUCUUUGAAAGGGUAAAUAAGAUUGACAGACCUCUCACUACAUUUGCUGAGAAGAAAUGAGAACCCAAAAAAACAAGAAAUGAAAAGAGGACAUAAACAACCAAUAUCACAGAUACACAAAGAGCCGUAAGGGAAUGCUAUGAACAAAUACUUAACAAUAGUAUGCCAACAAAUUUGACAGCCUAGAAGAAAUGGAUAAGUUUCUAGAAACCUACAACCCAACAAAACUGAAUCAAGAAGAAAUAGAUAAUUUGAACAGACCAAUCACGAAGUGAAAUAGAAUCUGUAAUUUUAAAACUGCAUACAAACAAAAGUCUGGGACCAGAUGGCUUCACAUAUGAAGUCUGCCAAACACACAAAAAAAGAACCUAUACUGAACCUUCUCAAAUCCUUCCAAAAAACUGAAAAGGGUAAACUCCCAAAGACACCCUAUGAAGCCACCAUCACCCUGAUACCAAUACCAGACAAAGAGAACCAAAAGAGAAAAUUUCAGGCUGAUAUCUUUGAUGAAUAUAUAUUGAAAAAUUCUCAAAAUAUUAUCAAACUGAAUCCAGUAACACAUAAAAAAGAUCAUACACCACGAUCAAGUGGAAUUCAGCCCAAGUUCACAAGGUUGCUUCAACAUACACAGAUCAGUCAAUGCGCUACACCAUAGACAAAAGAAAAGAUAAAACCUACAUGAUCAUCUCAAUAGAUGCAUAAAAAGCACUUGACAAAAUUCAGCAUCCAUUAAUGAUAAAACUCUUACCAAAUUGGGAACAGAUGGAACAUAUCUCAACAUAAUAAAAGCUACUUAUGACAAAUGCACAGCCAAUACAAUAUUCAACAGUGAAAAGCUGAAAGCCUUCCCACUAGUCCUAGACACAGCUAUCAGGAAAAAGAAACUAAAGAUCCAAAUUGGAAGAGAAGUGGUAAAAUUGUCAUUAUUUGCAGAUGAUAUACAAUAUAGAGAAAACCUUAAAGACGCCACAUAAAAACUACUAGAACUGAAAUGAAUUCAGCAAGGUAGCAGGAUACAAGAUUAACAUAUGGAAAUCAGUUGUAUUUCUUUAACAAUGAAAUAUCAGAGAAUGUUUAAAAAAAAACAAAAAACAAACCUUUUUUAAAAUCACACCCCCCAAAAGUAAAAUACUUAGGAAUAAGCCUGACAGAGGAGGUGAAAGACGUACAGGCUGAAAACUAUAAAACAUUAAUAAAGGAAACUGAAGAUGAUUCAAAAAAAUGAAAAGCUGUCUCAUGCUCUCGGAUUAGAAGAAUUAGUAUUGUUAAAAUGACCAUACUACCCAAGCAAUCUGCAGAGUUAAUGUGAGCCCUAUCAAGUUAACCAUGCCAUUUUUUACAGAUCUAGAACAAAUAAUCCUAAAAUUUAUAUGGAGCCAUAAAAGACACAGACUUGCUACAGCAAUCCUGAAGGAAAAGAAUAAAGUAGGAAGCAUAACCUCCCAGACUUCAGAAACUACAAAGCCACAGUGACCAAAACAGCAUAGUAUUGAUGCAAAACAGAGACACUGAAUAGAAACAAUAUUUUCUAUUUUUCUCUAUAAGAGAACAGAAUAGAAAGACCAGAACUAAACCCACAUGCCCACACUCAAUCUUCAACAAAGAAGGCAAGACUAUAUGAUGGGAAAAGACAAUCUCUUCAUCUAGUAGUGUUAGGAAAGUUGAACAGCCACAUAUAAAUCAGUGACAUUCAAACACUCUCACCAGAUACAAAAAUAAACUCAAAAUGGCUGAAAGACUUAAACAUAAGAUAUGACACCAUAAAAUCUCUGGAAGAUAUCAUAGGCAAGACAUUUUCUCACACAAAUCAUACGAUGUUUUCUUAGGUCGGUCUCCAAAGGCAAUAGAAGACAAAAAUAAACAAAUGAGAUCUAACCAAACUUAUAAGCUUUUGCACAGCAAAGGAAACCAUGAGCAAAACAAAAGACAACCUACAGAAUGGGACAAAAUACUUGCAAAUGAUGCGACUGACAAAGGUUUAAUUUCCCAAUAUACACACAGUUCAUACAAUUCAAACACAGCAACAAAAUAACCAUUAAGAAAAGGGUUCAGAAGACCUAGACAGACAUUUAUCCAAAGAAGAAAUACAUAUGGCCAAUAGGCAUGUGAAAAGAUGCUCAAAUCUCUAAUUAUUAGAGAAAUGCAAGCAAAACUGCUAUGAGGUGCCACUUCAUACCAGUCAAAGUGGCCAUCAUUAAAAACCCUACAGGGACUGCCCUGAUGGUCCAGUGGUUAAGACUCCAUGCUCCCAAUGCAGGGGGCACUGGUUUGAUCCCUGGUUAGGGAACUAAGAUCCCACCUACCAUGUGGUGCAGUCAAAAAUAAAUGUAACUCCCACCCCUAAACCAAAAAACUACAAAUAGCAAAUACGGGAGAGGAUGUGGAGCAAAGGGAACCUCCUACCCUGCUGGUGGGAAUUUUAGUUGGUACAGCCACUAUGGAAAACAGUAUGGAGGCCCAUCAGAAAACUAAAAACAUAUGAUCCAGCAAUCCCACUUCUGAGCAUAUAUCCAGACAAACCUCUAAUUCAAAAACAUAACGUGCCUCCUAUAUGCACAGCCGCACAAUUCACAAUAACCAAGACAGGGAGACAACUUAAACGUCCAUUGACAGAGGGAUGGGUAAAGAAGAUGUGGUAUGUAUAUACAAUGGAAUACCACUCACCCAUUAAAAAGAAUGAAAUAAUGGCAUCUGCAGCAAUAUGGAUGCAACCAGAGGUUAUCAUACGAACUGAAGUAAGUCAGAAAGAGAAAGACCGUAUCAUAUCACUUACAUGUGGAAUCUACAAUAUGACAAAUGAAGCUAUCUACACAACAGAAACAGACUCAUAAACAGAGAGGACAGAUUUAUGGUUGCUACAGGAGAGGGGGUUGGGCAGGGGUGGAGUGGGAGGCUAGGAUUAGCAGCUGUAAGCUGUAACAUACAGAAUGGAUAAACAAGGUCCUACUGAAUAGCACAGAGAACUAUAUUCAAUAUCCUUUCAUAAACCAUAAUGGGAAACAAUAUAAAAAAAGAACACUUAAAUAUGUAAAAAUCAAUUGGCUGUACAGAAAUUAAGAUGACAUUAUAAAUCAAAUUCAUUACUUAAUACAGCCUGGAAACUUGCCAUUAAUAUCCUCAGCAAAUGUGGAAGCCAGGGCUCAGAGACUAAGUAACUUGUGCCAGGUCACCCAGCUUGUUCAAGUGCGUGAGCUGGGGCUUGGAUCCUGGUCCAGGUAACUCUGAAGUCAUCUUGCCUCCUUGUGAACAAGCCCUUUAACAAGAAACUGUAUUGCUUAGAAGUGACUCUACAAGUCACCUGGUCCAGCGGUCCCUGAAUGCAGGUGGGCUGGCCCUGUCUCCUGGAGACCCUGCUGAAGAGGCAGGGUGGGAAGGAUGGGUCUGCUGUUGACAGAGAAACACCGACUGCCACCGUCUAAGGGAGCAGCAGAAGUCCUGUCAAUGGAGGCUAAAGGGAACCCUGCUCUGCUCUCAGGCUCUCUGGGUCAGAAAAGUGAGUCACUCAGUCCUGUCUGACUCUUUGUGACCCCAUGGACGACACAGUCCAUGGCAUUCUCCAGGCCAGAAUACUGGAGUGGAUAGCCUUUCCCUUCUCCAGUGGAUCUUCCCAACCCAGGGAUUGAACCCAGGUCUCCCGCAUUACAGACAGAUUCUUUACCAGCUGAGCCACAAGGGAAGCCCCUGUGGGUUAGAAGGGAAGGAGUAAACUGGUAGGGUGGGAACCACACUAAAUCACUGGACUCUGGUCUAGAGAAGGCACACUGAGGGACUUCCCUGGUUGUCCAGUGGCUAAGACUCGUGCUUCCAGUGCCGGGGGCCCAAGUUCGAUCCCUGGUUGGGCAACUAGAUCCCAUGUGCCGCACAAUAUUGAAGAUCCCACGUCCUGCAACUAAGAUCUGGCACAACUAUAUACUGAUUGCACGACUCUAGGCAAGCUGCUUAACCUCUCUGGGCUUCAGGUUACUUAUAUAUCAAAUGGGAAUAGUAACUGGAUCUACUUACUAGGUUAUCAUGCUUUUGAAUUGUGUUGGAGAAGACUCUUGAAAGUCCCUUGGACUGCAAGGAGAUCAAACCAGUCAAUCCUAAGAGAAAUCAACCCUGAAUACUCAUCGGAAGGACUGAUGCUGAAGCUCCAAAACUUUGGCCACCUGAUGCAAAUAGCCGACUCAUUAAAAAAUACCCUGUUGCUGGGAAAGAUUGAGGGCAGGAGGAGAAGGGGGCAAGAGAGGAUGAGAUGGCUGGAUGGCAUCACCAACUCAAUGGACAUGAGUUUGUGUAAACUCUAGAAUGUAGUGAAGGUCUGGGAAGUCUGGUGUGCUUCAGUCCAUGGGGUCUCAUGGAGUCAGAUACAACUUAGCAACUGAACAACAACUAGGUUAUCAUGAAAUAAAAUAAGAGAAUAUAUAAUAAUGCUCUGAAUAGUGGCUAGUGUUUAAUAAGUACUUAGUAAAAAGUAGUGACUAGUAUAAGUGACAUGUUUAUUAAAAUAAUUCAUGGAUUUAAAAAAUAAUUUGCAAUAUUAUAAUAGACUCUACCCUGAAAAAAAAAAUGAUCUGGCACAGCCAAAUAAAUAAAUAUUAAAGAGAGA